AAAAUAUGGGCUCAACCUGUAUCUUGCCUAUAAAACUGGUUGGACCUAGAGUAUGAGAUAGGAUGUCGGAAUUCCUGGUGUAGGGGUGGAAUCUAUAGAUAUCAGGAGGAACACCGAUGGCGAAGGCAGGCAUCUGGCUCUGUACUGACGCUGAGGAGCGAAAGCGUGGAUAGCGAACAGGAUUAGAUACCCUGGUAGUCCACGCAGUAAACGUUGUAUACUAGGUGUAUGGGGUAUCGAUCCCCUGUGUGCCGUAGCAAAUGCAUUAAGUAUACCGCCUGGGGAGUAUGCCGGCAACGGUGAAACUCAAAGGAAUUGACGGGGGCCCGCACAAGCGGUGGAGCAUGUGGUUUAGUUCGAUGAUACGCGAAGAAUCUUACCUGGGUUUGACAUGUAGACUACGGGAUAAGAGAUUAUCCUUCCCGCAAGGGUGUUUACACAGGUGCUGCAUGGCUGUCGUCAGCUCGUGUCGUGAGAUGUUGGGUUAAGUCCCGCAACGAGCGCAACCCUCAUAUCUAGUUGCCAACAGGUAAUGCUGGGAACUCUAGAUAAACUGCUGGGCGUAAGCCGGAGGAAGGUGGGGAUGACGUCAAGUCCUCAUGGCCUUUAUAUCCAGGGCUACACACGUGCUACAAUGGUAGGUACAAAGAGAAGCGAAUACGGGAGUUGGAGCCAAUCUCAGAAAGCCUAUCUAAGUUCGGAUUGGAGUCUGAGACUCGACUUCAUGAAGUUGGAAUCGCUAGUAAUCGCAGAUCAGCACGCUGCGGUGAAUACGUUCCCGGGCCUUGUACACACCGCCCGUCACACCACCCGAGUUGGAUGUACCCGAAGUUGCAGAGCUAACCUAUUUGGAGGCAUGCACCUAAGGUAUGUCUAGUAAGGGGGGUGAAGUC
rnacentral:rRNA from 1 species